UACGUAGGGGGCAAGCGUUGUCCGGAAUCAUUGGGCGUAAAGAGCGCGUAGGCGGCCCAGUAAGUCCGCUCUGAAAGUCAGGGGCUCAACCCCUGAAUGCGGGUGGAUACUGCUGGGCUAGAGUCCGGAAGAGGCGAGUGGAAUUCCAGGUGUAGCGGUGAAAUGCGUAGAUAUCUGGAGGAACACCGGUGGCGAAGGCGGCAUCCUGGACCGGCAUUGACGCUGAGGAGCGAAAGCCAGGGGAGCAAACGGG
rnacentral:rRNA from 1 species